GACGAACGCUGGCGGCGUGCUUAACACAUGCAAGUCGAACGAAGUGGCGCACGGGUGAGUAACGCGUAAUCAACCUGCCCUUCUGAGGGGGACAACAGUUGGAAACGACUGCUAAUACCGCAUACUGAAGGAGGGGAUUGCGUUUGAUUAGCUAGUUGGCGGGGUAACGGCCCACCAAGGCGAUGAUCAGUAGCCGAGCGGAGAGGAUGACCAGCCACAUUGGGACGGAGACACGGCCCAGACUCAACGGGAGGCAGCAGGGGGGGAGCUUCCGCAAUGGAAGAAAGUCUGACGGAGCAACGCCGCAUGAGUGAUGAGGGCCUUCGGGUUGUAAAGCUCUGUUAAUCGGGACGCGGUACCGGAAGAGAAAGCAACGGCUAACUACGUGCCAGCAGCCGCGGUAAUUC
rnacentral:rRNA from 1 species